UGGAUGGCGCACGACGCCGCCUCCUGUUCUCACUCAAAAUGCAGCCGUUUUGUACGCUUGCGUCUCCGUCUAUGCCCGUCUACGGUAUGAAAAGUUGAACUGAUCCAACACUUCCCGUCGCUUCCCGAUCCGUACGGUAGUACGGUUGCGUUCCCGUUCCUGGUGUUCACAUUGGACGCCGUCAGACCGUCCUGUCGCUUCCCAUCGAUCCUUACGCCGCGUCCCGUCGAAUUUGAACUAGGCUUUAUCAAUAUGAACUAGAGGAGUUCAUGUUGUUGUUUCUAGAACGAAGAAUCAGGCUUGUCGUCACCCUUUGGCUUGAAGCUCUUAUCACCAACUUCCGCAACGAAUCAAUUGAAAAGAUACCGUCUUGACUCCCGAUCUCUUUCAUAGCUACGCAUCAAUAUUACUGCGCUUGAAAGUACACGAUUUCACUCGUAUCCACAAUUGGAUGGAGUGCAAGGGCUAGAAUACUGCCACUGGUAUGCAUGCAUAAAAAAUCGUUUGCAUUCGCUUUGAACACUAACGAUUAUCGAUUGCGCUCUUAAUAAAACGAUCGGUUUGCGAGUUAUCUGUAUACUUGUUUCAGCCCCAAAUGCAUUGCCCUCGUAGAGGACAGGGAUGAGCAGUGAUAUGAGCAGGGAUGUGAGUACUGAUGUGCCUUUCGUCCUCAUAUUUUACAGAGAAGACGUCUGCCCCCAAUAAUAAAAUUAAUGUAGUAAUGAUAAUGUGUUGCCCUUUCAUCUUCUCAGGAGCCCUAUGCCUUUGCCUCUUCUCCCCUGGACUGAAUGGACUGGACGCUCUGUCCAGUAGUGUCCAGUAAAUGAUUUGUAGUGUAAGUUAGGGUGCACUCUCUCUUGAGGAUUUGCCCACCUUGAUGAUUGUGCUCUUCGUGUUAUUAGAAAAUGUCUCUAACUGCCAGGAUGGUAUAAGAGCACGAACUGAAUCACCUGUUGGUGCAGAAGGCUUGGAGGACUGCUUUUGAAACAGUUGUUCAAAUUUCCUGCACCUCUUCGUAGCCGUUGUCUGACUUCUGCAUUCUGGGGAGACUGAAGUUAAGAAGCCCUCACCGAAACCAACACUACGUUGCUGUGUUGUUUUCUUCCAAGGUCGGGCACAGUAAAGGAGACGACUCUGACUGCACUGACCCUACCAUCCACUCUACCUCUCCGGAAAGGGACUUGACAACCAGUCAAGAUGGAUGUGCAGAGAUAUACCAGCGCUUCUAGCAUUAACUGCCAAUUUGCACUGACGCAGCAAGACUCCCAACAGUCAAAAAGAAUAAUAUAGACGUGCAGAAAAUGUAGGAGAGCGAUGACAUCAGAAGGACACUCUCAGGUUCAGGGUACCUGUACUGCCCCAAUAAAGUGGGUCAGAUCCCAAAACGAGGUUGGCCGAAGCAAAAAAAAUAGAAGAGCCUGCCUUGAAUUGAAUAUGAGGAAGAAGAAGAAGACAAAGAAAGAGAAAGAGUAGGAAUUUGUUUGUGUAAACUUUGUUUCCUCUGUCUAGGCUGCCAUCGCAUUAUAGCAGCCAACAGUGUGUGUGUGUGUGUGUGUGUGUGUGUGUAUAUGUGUGUGUGUGUUUGCGUUUGUGUGCACACGCUUGUGUGUGUGUGUGUGUGUUUGCAUGUGUGUAUAUUCUGCUAAUCUUGACUUAAAUUUCCGUAUCUGGGCAUAUUGUGUUCUGUAUGUGAAUUUAUCUUCAUUCCCGUAGCUAUGCAGAAGACGUUACUUCAGUAACGUCUGGCGCUAGCCAGGGUCCACACAGCUUUAAUUUGGUAUUUGUGUGUUUGUUUGUGUCACGCCUGGCGCUAUCCGUAUCUGACGGCAAAAAAAGCAUAGGGACGUUAUAAAUUUUUCAAUUCUCCUAUUUUUUCAGGCAUAUGCUGGGAUUCGAACCCGCACUAUCGCCCUACAUGCAUUCCCCCAUACACUUCGCAUUCAUACCCAUUCUUCCAAGUUGCUUCACGUUAUGAUCUUGCGUUUGAAAGCCCUAUUUGAAUAUUGCUGGCAGCUAUAUGUGGCCAGCUGUGUUUGAUGGUACGGUACGGUACGGGAGACGGUGUCGUAUUACCGUCGAUCGUACCUGUCCCGUACCUAUCCCCUACCGUACCGUGCCAUCAAAGACGGCUGGCCACAAUGCAUAUUCAAAUACUAGUAGGGCUUUCAAAUGCAAGAUCACAAUGUGAAGCAACUUGGAAGAAUUAGUAUGUAUGCGAAGUGUAUCGGGGGGUGCAUGCAGGGUGCGCGAUAGUGCGGGUUCGAA